AACGAACGCUGGCGGCGUGCUUAACACAUGCAAGUCGAGCGGUAAGGCCCGUUUCGGGGGUACACGAGCGGCGAACGGGUGAGUAACACGUGGGUGACCUGCCCUUAGCUCUGGGAUAAGCCUGGGAAACUGGGUCUAAUACCGGAUAUGACUCCAUGACGCAUGUUGUGGGGUGGAAAGCCUUGUGCGGCUAGGGAUGGGCCCGCGGCCUAUCAGCUUGUUGGUGGGGUGAUGGCCUACCAAGGCGACGACGGUAGCCGGCCUGAGAGGGCGACCGGCCACACUGGGACUGAGACACGGCCCAGACUCCUACGGGAGGCAGCAGUGGGGAAUCUUGCGCAAUGGGCGAAAGCCUGACGCAGCGACGCCGCGUGAGGGAUGACGCC
rnacentral:rRNA from 1 species